CACGCCGUAAACGAUGUCAACUAGCCGUUGGUCCAAUAUAUAGGAUUAGUGGCGCAGCUAACGCAUUAAGUUGACCGCCUGGGGAGUACGGCCGCAAGGUUAAAACUCAAAUGAAUUGACGGGGGCCCGCACAAGCGGUGGAGCAUGUGGUUUAAUUCGAUGCAACGCGAAGAACCUUACCUACCCUUGACAUCCAGAGAAUCUGUGAGAGAUCGUAGAGUGCCUUCGGGAACUCUGAGACAGGUGC
rnacentral:rRNA from 1 species